rnacentral:rRNA from 1 species
GAUUGAACGCUGGCGGCGUGCCUAACACAUGCAAGUCGAACGGGUGAAGGGAGCUUGCUCCCUGAUCUAGUGGCGCACGGGUGAGUAACGCGUGGAUGAUCUACCCUGGAGUUUGGGACAACAGUUGGAAACGACUGCUAAUACCGAAUACGGCACCAUUUCAUAUUUGGUGUUAAAGGAGGCCUCUGCAUAUGCUUUCGCUUUGGGAUGAGUCCGCGUUUCAUUAGGUAGUUGGUGAGGUAAUGGCUCACCAAGCCUGCGAUGAGUAGCCGGCCUGAGAGGGUAAUCGGCCACACUGGGACUGGAACACGGCCCAGACUCCUACGGGAGGCAGCAGUGGGGAAUAUUGCGCAAUGGGCGAAAGCCUGACGCAGC